GAUUCCCCUAGUACUGCGAGUGAAGCGGGAAAAGCUCAAAUUUUGAAUCUGGCGGUCCGAGAGGGCCGUCCGAGUUGUAAUCUAGAGAAGCGUCUUCCGCGCUGGACCGUGUAUAAGUUUCCUGGAAUGGAACGUCGCAGAGGGUGACAAUCCCGUCUUUGACACGGACUCCCAGGGCUUAUGUGAUGCGCUCUCGACGAGUCGAGUUGUUUGGGAAUGCAGCUCAAAUAGGGUGGUAAAUUCCAUCUAAAGCUAAAUAUUGGCGAGAGACCGAUAGCGAACAAGUACCGUGAGGGAAAGAUGAAAAGAACUUUGGAAAGAGAGUUAAACAGUACGUGAAAUUGCUGAAAGGGAAACGUUUGAGGUCAGUCGCGUCGACCGGGGGUCAGCCUUGCUUUCAUCGCUCGGCGUACUUCCUGGUCUGACGGGUCAGCAUCGGUUUCGAUCGUCGGAAAAGGGCUCGAGUAAUGUGGCACUCUUCGGGGUGCGUUAUAGACUUGGGCCAUCUUAAUACGAUGGUUGGGACCGAGGAACUCAGCACGGCCUUAGGGUUCGGGGCCCCUUAUGGGGCCCACGUUUAGCGUGCUUAGGAUGCUGGCAUAAUGGCCUUAACCGACCC
rnacentral:rRNA from 1 species